rnacentral:rRNA from 1 species
CCUACGGGUGGCAGCAGUGAGGAAUAUUGGUCAAUGGACGAGAGUCUGAACCAGCCAAGUAGCGUGAAGGAUGACUGCCCUAUGGGUUGUAAACUUCUUUUAUAUGGGAAUAAAAUGUUCCACGUGUGGGAUUUUGUAGGUACCAUAUGAAUAAGGAUCGGCUAACUCCGUGCCAGCAGCCGCGGUAAUACGGAGGAUCCGAGCGUUAUCCGGAGUUAUUGGGUUUAAAGGGAGCGUAGGUGGAUUGUUAAGUCAGUUGUGAAAGUUUGCGGCUCAACCGUAAAAUUGCAGUUGAAACUGGCAGUCUUGAGUACAGUAGAGGUGGGCGGAAUUCGUGGUGUAGCGGUGAAAGGCUUAGAUAUCACGAAGAACUCCGAUUGCGAAGGCAGCUCACUGGACUGCAACUGACACUGAGGCUCGAAAGUGUGGGUAUCAAACAGGAUUAGAUACCCCUGUAGUC